rnacentral:rRNA from 1 species
AUGCAUCCAGCUUUAGCUGAAUAUCAAGAGUGUUCAGCGAAGUAUGCUAGCCAUUGGCCAUACAUUCAGGAUACUCCUUUCUGUCUUUGCGAUGUUUGGUUAUAAGAGAAUGUUGCUCUUCAGAAAACUCAUAUAGUGGCCUUAGUCGAUGGGACAAACGCUUCAGUGUAUGCGUUACAAGGCAACUAG